CCAAUAGCGUAUAUUAAAGUUGUUGCAGUUAAAAAGCUCGUAGUUGAAUUUCGGGGUUAGUAGGCUGGUCGUGCCACAGGUACGUACUGGUCUUACUGAUUCCUCCUUCCUGAUGAACCGUAAUGCCAUUAAUUUGGUGUUGCGGGGAAACUGGACUGUUACUUUGAAAAAAUUAGUGUGUUUAAAGCAGGCUAACGCUUGAAUACAUUAGCAUGGAAUAAUGAAAUAGGACGUUCGAUCCUAUUUUUUUGGUUUCUAGGAUUGACGUAAUGAUUAAUAGGGAUAGUUGGGGGCAUUAGUAUUCAAUUGUCAGAGGUGAAAUUCUUGGAUUUAUUGAAGACUAACUACUGCGAAAGCAUUUGCCAAGGAUGUUUUCAUUAAUCAAGAACGAAAGUUAGGGGAUCGAAGACGAUCAGAUACCGUCGUAGUCUUAACCAUAAACUAUGCCGACUAGGAAUCAGACGAUGUUAAUUUUUUAAUGCCUCGUUUGGCACCUUACG
rnacentral:rRNA from 1 species